GGCUAAUUUGACUCAACGCGGGAAAUCUUACCGGGUCCGGACACACUGAGGAUCGACAGACAGUAUUCAUGGCGAGUCUCUCGUCAUAUUUCAAAUGUGCGAGUUCUUUCAUGAUUGUGUGAUAGGUGGUGCAUGGCCGUUCUUAGUUCGUGGAGUGAUCUGUCUGCUUAAUUGCGUUUCAUAUUUACGAAUGUCGCUUACGUGAUUGCUGCAGACCUCGUCUCCUCUGGAGGCGACGCGUCUCUUCAACUCACUCGCACAUUCUCUUGAACGCAACGAGCGUGACCGCAACCUCUUGUUGUGUAUACCAAGUGUGGCGCUGGCUUGCCAGCUCGCACUCCAAUGCACGUAUUUUGGUCACAUUGUCUCGCGGCGCCUCGGCGUUUGCAGCAAUGUCCAAAUAAACUUGAGGGACCGCUGUAACAAUUCUUUUAAACCAGAGGAAGGUUGCGGCAAUAACAGGUCUGUGAUGC
rnacentral:rRNA from 1 species